rnacentral:misc_RNA from 1 species
GAUGAAGAACGCAGCGAAAUGCGAUACGUAAUGUGAAUUGCAGAAUUCAGUGAAUCAUCGAAUCUUUGAACGCAUAUUGCGCUCUCUGGUAUUCCGGAGAGCAUGCUUGUUUGAGUAUCAGUAAACACCUCAACUCCCCUUUCUUUUUUUGAAAUGGGAGCUGGACUUGAGUGAUCCCAACGCUUUUCUCACCGAAAAGUGGCGGGUUACUUGAAAUGCAGGUGCAGCUGGACUUUUCUCUGAGCUAAAAGCAUAUCUAUUUAGUCUGCCUAAAAAACAGAUUAUUACCUUUGCUGCAGCUAACAUAAAGGAGAUUAGUUCUUGUGCUGACUGAUGCAGGAUUCACAGAGACAGCUUCGGCUGGCCUUUGUAAACUCGAUCUCAAAGCAAGUAAGACUACCCGCUGAACUUAAGCAUAUCAAUAAGCGGAGGA